GAUUGACUAAUUAAUCAAAUUCUAGGAAAUUAAUUUUAAUUGUUUCAACUUUAAGAUGAUUUUUACUUUUCUCGACUCUGUUUGCUUUUCACGAGAUUGAACAUCACAAGUAAAUUCGGAAACAAACCAUUUCCAUUUCUAUGAGUUAAUAAGACAACAACCAGAUUCCAUUGGAAUAUUUGAAGAUCCAGUUGUGUCAUCUGAUGGAGCUGAAUGGAGAAACAAGAAUUGUUAUUCUAUUAAUAAGACCGAUCAAGUGAUUUUACCCCAAAGCCAAUGUGAAAAUUGAAUAAUCAUCUUUGACUGUGAUAAAUGUGACAACUGAUUUGAUUGAUUUUCCCUUAUAACAAUUGUUGUUACUUUGUUGAUUAACAUGUGAGAACAAUUAAGAAAAGGAAAAUUAUAAGGUAACAUAAUUUUCCCUAAUAUGGAUAGUAAAUUAUGUUAAUUGUUGAAAAUGAAUUUGAUUCAACACAAUUUCACCGUAAUGUUAGAAAAAGAGAUAAAAUUUGAACUUUUGUUAUCUUAAAUCAACAAUAAUCAGUUAUCACAAUUAAUCAGAUGACAAUUUGUUGCCUUUAUAUAUAAUUUAAAUGCUGCUAAUUGGUGUUUGCGGAUUCAAGUAGCAAAAAAAUUCAGUAAACAAGAAAUACGAGCAAAGAAACAAAAAAUUAACUAACCAUCAUCAUAACCCCUUAAGGGUAAAAUGAUGGGAACUAAUUUAUUAAUGAAGUUAAAUCAAUGGUGGUAACUAUUAUUUUCCCAAUUAAAGGUCAUUAUCAUUAUAUAAACGUUUUUUUUAAAGGUAUCCUAAUGAUAAUUAAAUGUUUCAUCAUCGUCUCUUGAUGAUAAUUAAAUGUAUCAUCUUCAUCCGCAUGUUGAUCAAGGUAACAAUUUGUAAAUACUAUUCACUAAUCAUCCCGGAUCAUCAUCAUCAUCAUCAUCAUCAUCAUCAUCAUCGUCAUCAUCAAUUAAUUAAACAUUAAGAAAAGAUAAAGUAUCAAGAUAAAUUGUUAAUCAUUCGUCUUUUUGUCUUACCUUUCGUAAAUUGUAUUAUUAAAAUUACAGUUAAUUAACCUAAAAAAGAAGCAACAAAAUUAAGUUAAUCACCUAAUCCAAUGAAAUAUAUCAUAUUAACUGAUCAACCAAUUCAAUUAUUAUAAUACAAUUACAAUUUUUUUUUACUUGUUUCAUUUUGGUUUUCAUUCAGCAACCGCAACAUCAUCAAGUUAUGAUUAAUAAAACACA